UCUUCGGUAGUAUAUCGGAUAGUACACCCGCCUGUCAUUUCCAAAGCAACGCACAUAGCUUAUUCGCGGGAGAGCGGGGUUCGACUCCCCGCCGAAGAG